GAUGAAGAACGUAGCGAAAUGCGAUACGUAAUGUGAAUUGCAGAAUUCAGUGAAUCAUCGAAUCUUUGAACGCAUAUUGCGCUCUCUGGUAUUCCGGAGAGCAUGCUUGUUUGAGUAUCAGUAAACACCUCAACUUCCAUAUCUUUUUUGAAAUGGGAGUUGGACUUGAGUGAUCCCAACGCUUUUCCUCACCGAAAAGUGGCGGGUUACUUGAAAUGCAGGUGCAGCUGGACAUUUCUCUGAGCUAUAAGCAUAUCUAUUUAGUCUGCCUAAAAAACAGAUUAUUACCUUUGCUGCAGCUAACAUAAAGGAGAUUAGUUCUUGUGCUGACUGAUGCAGGAUUCACAAAGACAGGCUUCGGCCGACUUUGUAAACUCGAUCUCAAAUCAAGUAAGACUACCCGCUGAACUUAAGCAUAUCAAUAAGCGGAGGA
rnacentral:misc_RNA from 1 species